CUGGGCCCUGGUAAAUGUCUAGCGACACAAGCGUCCAUCAAUCAAGAUUCCUUUGUUAAAUGUCUGAGACAGAACAAAGCUUCCAGAGGCCUCCCUCCAACUGCAGGGUUCUUCUGUAAUUAAGGAUGACUGACCACAAACUCACUAUGUACUGGAAGCUUAUCUUGAACUCUUAGAUCUUCCGGCUUCUACCUUCCACGGACUGCAAUUAUUGGCGUGUACCCCACCUGGGUUGGGAUGAAAUUACUUUCAGAUCAACCAAUA
rnacentral:lncRNA from 1 species